rnacentral:RNase_P_RNA from 1 species
CGGGCUGGCCGGGUGAUCGCGGCAGUGCAUCUUUGUACUGCUGAGGAAAGUCCGCACUCCACAGAGCACGGCGCCGGGUAACACCCGGAGCGGGGUAACCCGCUGGAUUGGGCCACAGAAACAAACCGCUGCCUGUUUCAGGCAGCAAGGGUGAAAAGGUGGUGUAAGAGACCACCGGAGUCCGCAGUAAUGCGGCUGCCAGGCAACCCCCGCCGGGA